UACAGAGGUCUCAAGCGUUGUUCGGAUUCAUUGGGCGUAAAGGGUGCGUAGGCGGCGCGGUAAGUCGGGUGUGAAAUCUCGGAGCUUAACUCCGAAACUGCAUUCGAUACUGCCGUGCUUGAGGACUGGAGAGGAGACUGGAAUUUACGGUGUAGCGGUGAAAUGCGUAGAUAUCGUAAGGAAGACCAGUGGCGAAGGCGGGUCUCUGGGCCAUAACUGACGCUGAGGAGCGAAAGCGUGGGGAGCAAACAGG
rnacentral:rRNA from 1 species